UGGUCACUGCGGGGAGAAAGGUGCACCUGUUAGCGCCGCCGCCGCCGCCGCCGCCCGGCCCGCGCCCCCGCCCGCGCCCAUACUCCCGCGCCGCACUUGACGAAGAAGACGCGGCCGUCCCGGCACACGCCGUAAGACCAGUGCUCAGGCACUGGCUUAGUUCUCGCAAGACAGCGAGCCUGACUCCUCCCCGGUCUCUUGGUCCCCCUCCAGCCAUGUGAUGCCAUUUGCCAUGCUGUGAUGCAAGCAGGGAGCCCCCACCAGAUGCCACCCCGAAUGGACUUUCCAGCCACCAGAAUUAUAACGGCCCAGAGCCACUUCCUCCGAGAAGCCUUCUCUGCUCCAUUGGACAAGACUCCAGUGCGGCCCGCCUUCCAUUUGCACGGUGGUUACCUGGUGGCUCUUCCUCUCCCCCAGAACCCUGCAGGCUCCCGUCUGCUUUGCUCACUGUUGUAUCCCAAAGCCUACAAUAGCACCUGACACAUGACAGUA